AUUCCAUGAUGAGGGCACUUCCGUAAUGAUUCUUUGUACCUUUUCCAUGUGUCAUAUAAGGACUCAUCAUCCAUUUUUUAGAAAGCAGUGAUCUCGCUCCUCAAUUU
rfam:Gossypium hirsutum cultivar TM-1 chromosome 23, whole genome shotgun sequence